GUAGGGAAUCUUGCGCAAUGGGCGAAAGCCUGACGCAGCCAUGCCGCGUGAAUGAUGAAGGUCUUAGGAUUGUAAAAUUCUUUCACCGGGGACGAUAAUGACGGUACCCGGAGAAGAAGCCCCGGCUAACUUCGUGCCAGCAGCCGCGGUAAUACGAAGGGGGCUAGCGUUGCUCGGAAUUACUGGGCGUAAAGGGCGCGUAGGCGGACAGUUUAGUCAGAGGUGAAAGCCCAGGGCUCAACCUUGGAAUUGCCUUUGAUACUGGCUGUCUUGAGUACGGGAGAGGUGAGUGGAACUCCGAGUGUAGAGGUGAAAUUCGUAGAUAUUCGGAAGAACACCAGUGGCGAAGGCGACUCACUGGCCCGUUACUGACGCUGAGGCGCGAAAGCGUGGGGAGCAAACAGGAUUAGAUACCCCGGUAGUCC
rnacentral:rRNA from 1 species